rnacentral:lncRNA from 1 species
AGCUGGACGGUGCUGCAAGGUGGAGUAGAAAUUCCAUUUUGAUUUUCAUAAAAGUUUGAAGAAAAGUUAGUGUUGAAGUUGGAUUGUUGAAGGUAGACUUUGGGUUGUUNUUCUUGUAAGCUUUAGCAUUUGAAACUUUGGGUUCUUUGGGAUGCAUUCUCGGUUUGGAGAAGGGAAGAAACAAUUUGGAUGAUUGUGUUGGUGAAAGAAAACCNUGUAGGAGUGGUGAAAGGAGAGAGAAUGGACACAUUUAAUUUUUACCCGAUUUGGACAAGCACAUGUUGACACACAUUUACCAUAGAAGGAAUUUUGCCAUUUUGGUUUUGGACUUUGCUAGCAAUUUCCGUGAACAUCAUAUGAAGAAGAGAAUGACUUGUUUGUUUUAUUCCAUUUGACCUUGCAC